AUUGAACGCUGGCGGCAGGCCUAACACAUGCAAGUCGAACGAGUGGCGGACGGGUGAGUAAUGUCUGGGAACCUGCCCGAUGGAGGGGGAUAACUACUGGAAACGGUAGCUAAUACCGCAUACCAUCGGAUGUGCCCAGAUGGGAUGAGCUAGUAGGUGGGGUAAUGGCUCACCUAGGCGACGAUCCAUAGCUGGUCUGAGAGGAUGACCAGCCACACUGGAACUGAGACACGGUCCAGACUCCUACGGGAGGCAGCAGUGGGGAAUAUUGCACAAUGGGCGAAAGCCUGAUGCAGCCAUGCCGCGUGUAUGAAGAAGGCCGUCGGGUUGUAAAGUACUUUCAGCGAGGAGGCGUUAUUCGCAGAAGAAGCACCGGCUAACUCCGUGCCAGCAGCCGCGGUAAUAC
rnacentral:rRNA from 1 species